AUGAGUUCAAUUCAAUGUGUCAAUAAUAAUAGUGCAAAUAAGUUUGGGGUUAAAGCUCCCAUGAAUUUCUAAGUCCUUACAUUGUGAUCUCACAAAUUACACCACCUUACUUGCUUUGACAUUCUUAUGUUUUGCUUUGCCUGGGAGUAUCUAUCUGACUUUCAAUUUUCUCGGUAUUCUUUCUUGAAAAGGUUCUCUCUAUAUUCCUUUCUGUAAUCUAGUAAUUAUAGAAUAUUUUUCUUCCCUGGCAGAUCUCUGCAACCUCUGGGCCUUGCUGAAACCUUGUGUGGUUCACCACUCUACAUGGCUCCAGAAAUCAUGCAACUACAGAAGUAUGAUGCUAAGGCAGAUCUCUGGAGUGUUCGUGCAAUCUUAUUUCAGCUUGUUACAGGAAGAACACCUUUCACUGGAAACAAUCAAAUACAGGUAUAAAUUAGUGCCUCUUUCUAUUGUUGUAUUUUGAGUAUUCUCUCAAUGCAAACAAAGUUUUUUUCUAACCAAUAAUCGAAUAAUCUAUAUAUUUUGGUGCUAUCAUCAGUAGUGUUGUCCUCCAAAUGGGUACGAGUCUUUUGACCUUCUUAAUGCAAAGACUUGUGUCAGAAAUUGCUACGCCGGAAUCCAGUGGAACGUCUAACUUUUGAAGAAUUCUUUAACCACCCAUUCCUUUCUC